UACGUAGGUGGCAAGCGUUAUCCGGAUUUAUUGGGCGUAAAGGGAACGCAGGCGGUCUUUUAAGUCUGAUGUGAAAGCCUUCGGCUUAACCGGAGUAGUGCAUUGGAAACUGGGAGACUUGAGUGCAGAAGAGGAGAGCGGAACUCCAUGUGUAGCGGUGAAAUGCGUAGAUAUAUGGAAGAACACCAGUGGCGAAAGCGGCUCUCUGGUCUGUAACUGACGCUGAGGUUCGAAAGCGUGGGUAGCAAACAGG
rnacentral:rRNA from 1 species